rnacentral:lncRNA from 1 species
GGCGGUUGGCAGUGGGGUGGCAGCAAGCAGCCUCCAGCCUGACCAUGACUGACUCUAGUCACUGAUUCCAGGUACCAUGGCAGCUCCAGUACUUGGUUGCCCUGGUCUUGGAGAGCAGGAACAGUGGCCUCACCCCUCCCUCACCUGAUCCCAGUACAUACCCCCCAACCACACACACACACACACACACACACAAUUUCCCUCCUGACCCUACCUACAAAUAAAACCACUGUUCUGCGUCUGUGCCUGCCUCAAACAGAACUGUCAUUACAGAGAUGAAGCUGAAGCACAGAGAAGGUAAGUGAUUGUCCAAGGUCACACAGCCAGCAAUUUCAUCAUCCUCUCAGUCUGCAUCCAGAGCCCAGCCCAGCACAGGGAGGCAUCAUGAAGCAGUGGGGAAUCAUCCUGACCAGACUGAAAACCCAGCCCUGCCUCUUCUCUGUGCUGUGACUCAAUAUAUUGGAGCCACAGUUUCCUCUUCCGUGACCUUGCACGUUUGCAGGGAGGAGUAGAGACAACGUAGCAGGUGCUCAAUAAAUCGGCAGCAGUGCCCAGGAUGCUGGCUGGGUUAGUGCUUGGAAUGCAGCUGAGAUGGUGGCUGGAAUGGUGGCAGGGAUAUUCAAAGUGCUGGUAACAAAUGAUAUGUGGAUUUCUGUUUGGGGGACCGGAGGGGUCCAUUCAGGUGAGGUCUCUUAGGAGGUCCAGAGCUGACUUCUUCCCCGCCUCUACAUGUGUUGGGAUAAGGUAGCCCCAGGGCUGAUGUGACCAGAUGUCAGGUGUAGUGAAAUGUUUGGACCCUCAUUCUUUUCUAGCUGUGGAGGGUAAUUUGCCCCAGGAAAGGAGGCAGCUGUGCUUGCAGGCAUCUGCAGGAGGAAUAGUCAGCCUGGGGAUGUCCACAGCUACCCCCUCCCUGGUUCCCCAGCUUUGGGACACCAUAACACAGUUUUGGGACCGGGACCUUUCUAAAGAGGUGGGAAUGGGGAGGUGCUCUUAGGUUUCAAUGAAAGGAAAGACUUCAGCACUCUCCACUUCGGGUAUUUUCUGUUUGGGAAGAAGCUAAGGGUACUACAGAAGGCAUAUUAUACCCGCGGGGUGUGAGAGAAGUAUUGGUACCUCUAGGGGCUGCAUUCCAUCUCCCAGGGGUUGAGCAAACACUCCAGCAAACACCCUGGGGCCAGUAAAGAAGGUUCAGCCAGUCAGGGACAAGGCCAGCAUUGACCAUCUGUGUCCUGGCAUUGAGAGUUUCAUCUCUGGUGUGCAGCUCAUUCCAGCUGACCUUUUGGGGGACAUGUUAGAAGUGUUGAAACAGCCUGGCUCAAAGGCGGCUCUACCCUGGGGAGCCUGAAAUUCUUUUUCUACUAAUGAUCCUUUGAAAUAAUCCUUUUAAUCAGGUUUCCCCUAGGAAGAGUCUGGGACACCACUCUCUUAACAAAUUUUCACUUGUCUCUCUGUCAAGAUGGGCCGGUCCUAGCAACAAUUUGCUGUUUAGACAGAGCAGGAGCCAUGCAAAGAAUGUAGCAACUCUAGCGGCCCUUUGGGAGACCUUCUGCACUGACCAGCCCGCUGCCCUAGCUUUGAGGGCGUCUGUCAUUUCCUUUUCUUGUACUCUAAAACUGAGGUGGGCAGGGCUUUGUAGAGGGAGCUGGUAAAUACAAACACACAGCCAUGGCCAGAUACCCAGCAGGACCUCAUUUUGAAAAAAUCACCUAUGCUGGAAAACUGAGAGAUGGGACUUUUGAGGGCUUGAGGAAAGCUGCACCAAAUAUUAGUCACAUUGGAUCAUUCUUUAGCCGGAGAUGCUCUUCUUAAGUAAAAUGUAAAUUCUCUAGUUAAAAUAAAAUAGAAGCACAGAAGAAAGAAAUAGCAUAGAAGUCUGGCAAGACAAUGAGCAACACGUUUAUAAUGAUUAUCCUCAGGUGGUAGAAGUUCUAGUGAUUUUUAUGUCUUAUUUGUAUCUACCUGUGAAUUACUUUUUAAAAAGAUUUUAUUAUUUGAGAGAAAGCGAAAGAGAGAGCACAAGAGGGACAGAGGGAGAAGGAGAAACAGACUCUUUGCUGAGCAGGGAACUGGACCUGGGGCUUAAUCCCAGGACCCUGGGAUCAUGACCUGAGCACAAAGGCAGAUGCUUAACCAACUGAGCCACCCAGGCGCCAAUGUGAAUGACUUUUGAAAUAAGAAAGGAAUUUAUUUCCAGUUUCCCUAAAGGACAAUCACAUGAUGACAUCAUUCAUUUGUGCUUCAGUAAAAGUUAGUUCUGGGUCUUUUCCUAAAAGCAGGAUAAGCUAGAGGAAUGAAAAUCAUUUCUGAAUCCUUACACCUAAUGUAGUAUACCAUACCUGGUAGAUAACAGGACCAGCAAAUGUCCAUGGAAUUAAUUGAUCAAUGGAUUUUUAAGGACUGAUAAAGAAGUGGAAAGGAUAGAAAUUUGGUAGAGGUAAGACUGAGCCUCCAGGAGUUCCUUUGAUAUGCAGAGCAGAGGCUGUUUUCUCUGAAAGGAAAAGGGGAGACAGGAGACCACUUCUCUGGUGGUCAAAUGAGUCCUAUCAAUUCCAUUCUUCCUUGAAGUGCCUGCAGUAUGGAUCUUUGGGGAACCCUAUCUGACAGACUUGAGUGGUCUGGUCUUGGGAGCCUCAGGGAUAUUAGGACACACAUACUUUGAUAGUUAGUGGGACAUGGCUGCCCUUGACCACCUAAGUUGCCUGUGUUGGGAGAAUCUGAAAUCAAAUUCUAUAAAAUCCACCUUCUGAGCAUCCCUCCAUUCUACCAGUUCUCUUCAUCCUCACUGUCACUACCUUUAUCUCACCUGGAAUUACGGCAAUAGCCUGCUAACUGGUCUAACUCCAGUCUUAGCAUUUAUUCUCCAAAGAGUAAAUCUUAAGAUGCAGAAAUGAUAUUAUCAUUAUACUGCUUAAAACAAUUCAGGAGCUUCUCAUAGCAUUCAGGAUAAAGUCCAGACUCCUAAGUGUGAGGGUCUCAAUGAAGAUUAGAGACUGCAUCGCAGGUGCCCACUAAAUGAGAGCUGCUCUUGGCAGCAGUGGCCAGGAUGUUGGCUGAGCUAGUAGUCAGGACGUAGGCUGGGAUAGGGGCUGAGAUGAUGCACUGGAAUGGUGGCAGUGAUCAUUAAAGUGAUGGUAACAGUGAUUCGUGAAGUGACCUCUGGUUUGGGGUCAAGAGGAGUACAUUCAGGUGAUGAGGUCUCUCCGGACAGGCACAGGGGAACUUCUUCCCCACCACCAGAAGUGUUGAUAUGUGAGACUCUUGAGGUUGGAUGUGACCAGAUGUCAAGUGCAAUGGGAUUGUGUGGAUCCUGGCUCAAUUCUAGCUGUGGAGAGUAUUAACCCCAGGAAAGGAGUCUGCUGUCUGUUUUGGAAUGGCCCAGCAAGCUACAUUUUUACAUUGGGUAGAAUAGAGAAUAGCCUUAUUGAGAUAUAAUUCACAUACUAUGCAAUUCACCCAUUCAAAGGGUAUGAUUCAUUGGUUUUUAAUAUAUUCACAGAGUUGUGCAAUCAUCGCUACAAUUAAUUUUAGAGCAUUUUCAUCAUUCCAAAGAGAAACCCAUACUUUUUAGCUUUCUACCACCCCCCAGCCCUAGGCAACCACUAAUUAGCUUUUUGUUGCUAUAAAUUUGUCUAUUCUGGACAUUCCAUAUAAAUGGAAUUAUGCAAUAUGUAGUCUUUUGUGACUGGUUUCUUUCACUUAGCUUCAUAUUUUCAAAGUCAUCCAUGUUGUAAUUUGUAUCAAUACUUUGUUCCUUUUUAUUGCCAUAUUCCAUUGUAUGUCUAUGUGUGUAUAUACACACAUUUUGUCUAUCCGUUCAUCGGUAGAUGGACGGUUGGGGUGUUUCUUCUUUUUCACUAUUAGGAAUAAUCCUUCUUUGAACAUUUGUGCAUAAGUUUUUAUAGGAAUGUGUGUUUCCAUUUCUCUUUAGUGCAUACCCAUCAGGGAGUGGGAUUCCUCAGGCACAUGGUAACUCUGUUUAACCUUUUGAGGAACUUCCAGGCAGUUUUCCAAAGCAGCUACUCCAUUUUACACUCCCAGCAGUGAUGUGUGAGGGUUCCAGUUUCUCCAUAUCUUCACCAAUAUUUGUUAUCACCUGACUUUUUUAUUCUAGUCAUCCUGGUGGGUGUGAGAUUUGCAUUUCCCAAUUGACUAAUGAUGUCGAGCAUCUUUUCAUAUGCUUACUGGGCCUCCUUUAUCUUCUUGGGUGAAAUAUUUACUCAAGUCCUUUGCUUAAAUCAGGUUGUUUGUUUUUGCUGUUGUUGAGUUGCCUUUUGCCCAUUCAAAAAUUUUUAAAUUUUGACCAAUUCAAAAUUGAGUUGUGUUUACCUUUUUAGUUUUGAAUCACAAGCAUUAUGUGUACAUUUGGGGAGUAUUGCCAUCUAAACAGUAUUAAGACUUCUGAUUUAUGAGCAUAGGAUGUGUUUCCAUUUAGUAUUUAGAUCUUUCAUUUCUUUCUGCAAUGUAUUUUGUAAUUUUGAGAGUUUAAGUUCUGCCCUUGAUUUGUUACAUUUAUCCCUAGGUAUUUUAUUCUUUUUGAUGCUAUUAUAAAUGGAAGUAUUUUCUUAAUUUCACUUUUGGAUUGUUCAUUGCAAGUAUAUAUUACAUGUAUAGAAAUACAAUUUAUAUAUAUAUACAUGUAUAUAUAUGUUAUCAAAUUAUAUAUGUAUAUAUAUAAAUAUAUACAUAUAUGUAUGUAUAUACAUAUACAUACCUAUGUGUAUAUACAUACAUAUGUAUGUAUAUACAUAUAUUUAUAUGUGUGUAUAUAUGUUAAUAAAUUUUUUAUAUAUGUGUGUGUAUAUAUAUAUAAUUACAAAUACAAGGAAUCUGUAUCUUAUACCUUUAAACUUGCUGAACUUGUUCAUUAGCCCUCAGAGUUUUUCUUACCGAACUCCAUAGAGUUUUCUCUGCAAGUUUGUGCUAUUUGUAAGUAGAGAUAGGUUUUAUCAAAAUUUCUUACCUAGAGGCACCUGGAUGGCUCAGUGGUUGAGCCAGGUCUGCCUUUGGCUCAAGUCAUGAUUGUGGGGUCCUGGGAUCGAGCCCCACAUCAGGCUCCCUGCAGGAAGCCUGCUUCUCCCUCUGCCUAUGUCUUUGCCUCGCUCUGUGUUUCUCAUGAAUAAAUAAAUAAAAUCUUAAAAAAUUUCUUACCUA